rnacentral:rRNA from 1 species
AAGGGGAGCAAUCCCUGAGUAGAGUGGCAAACGGGUGAGUAACACGUGGGUGACCUGCCUUCGAGUGGGGGAUAACGUCCCGAAAGGGACGCUAAUACCGCAUGACAUCCUGCUUUUGGAAAAGCGGAGAUCAAAGCUGGGGAUCGCAAGACCUAGCGCUUGAAGAGGGGCCCGCGCCUGAUUAGCUAGUUGGUGGGGUAAUGGCUCACCAAGGCUACGAUCAGUAUCCGGCCUGAGAGGGCGGACGGACACACUGGGACUGAGACACGGCCCAGACUCCUACGGGAGGCAGCAGUGGGGAAUUGUUCGCAAUGGGCGCAAGCCUGACGACGCAACGCCGCGUGGAGGAUGAAGAUCUUCGGG